rnacentral:rRNA from 1 species
GAUGAACGCUAGCUACAGGCUUAACACAUGCAAGUCGCGGGGCAGCAUGGGGGUUGCUUGCACUCCCCGAUGGCGACCGGCGCACGGGUGAGUAACGCGUAUCCAACCUGCCCUUCACCACGGGAUAACCCGGCGAAAGUCGGACUAAUACCGUAUGUUGUCCAUUGACGGCAUCCGAUUUGGACGAAAGGCUUGGCGGUGAGGGAUGGGGAUGCGUCCGAUUAGCCAGACGGCGGGGUAACGGCCCACCGUGGCUACGAUCGGUAGGGGUUCUGAGAGGAAGGUCCCCCACACUGGAACUGAGACACGGUCCAGAAUCCUACGGGAGGCAGCAGUGAGGAAUAUUGGUCAAUGGGCGUAAGCCUGAACCAGCCAAGUAGCGUGCAGGAUGACGGCCCUAUGGGUUGUAAACUGCUUUUAUGCGGGGAUAAAGUGGCCCACGUGUGGGCUUUUGCAGGUACCGAAUGAAUAAGGACCGGCUAAUUCCGUG